UAGGGAAUCUUCGGCAAUGGACGAAAGUCUGACCGAGCAACGCCGCGUGAGUGAAGAAGGUUUUCGGAUCGUAAAACUCUGUUGUUAGAGAAGAACAAGGACGUUAGUAACUGAACGUCCCCUGACGGUAUCUAACCAGAAAGCCACGGCUAACUACGUGCCAGCAGCCGCGAUAAUACGUAGGUGGCAAGCGUUGUCCGGAUUUAUUGGGCGUAAAGCGAGCGCAGGCGGUUUCUUAAGUCUGAUGUGAAAGCCCCCGGCUCAACCGGGGAGGGUCAUUGGAAACUGGGGGACUUGAGGGCAGAAGAGGAGAGUGGAAUUCCAUGUGUAGCGGUGAAAUGCGUAGAUAUAUGGAGGAACACCAGUGGCGAAGGCGGCUCUCUGGUCUGUAACUGACGCUGAGGCUCGAAAGCGUGGGGAGCAAACAGG
rnacentral:rRNA from 1 species